GACGAACGCUGGCGGCGUGCUUAACACAUGCAAGUCGAACGGAAAGUCCCUGCUUUUGUGGGGUGCUCGAGUUGCGAACUGGUGAGUAACACGUGAGUAACCUGCCCUUGCCUUUGGGAUAACUUCAUGACACUUGGUCUCAUCCCGGAUAGGAUCUCCUGCUUCUUGGUGGGGGUUGGAUAGUUUCGGCGGUUGGGGAUGGACUCGCGUCUUAUCAGCUUGUUGGUGGGGUAGUGUCUUACCAUGGCUUUGACGGGUAGCCGACCUGAGGGGAGGAGCGGACAAAUUGGGACUGAGAUGCGGCACAGACUACAACGGGAGGCAGCAGUGGGGAAGAGUACACAAUGGGAGGAAGGCUGAUGCAGCAAAGCAACGUGGGGGAUGACGGCAUUCGGGUUGUAAACCGAUUUCGCCUGUGACGAAGCGUGAGUGACGGUAAUGGGUAAAGAAGCACCGGCUAACUACGUG
rnacentral:rRNA from 1 species